UACGGAGGGUGCAAGCGUUAUCCGGAUUCACUGGGUUUAAAGGGUGCGUAGGCGGCCAAGUAAGUCAGUGGUGAAAUCUCCGGGCUUAACCCGGAAACUGCCAUUGAUACUAUUUGUCUUGAAUACUGUGGAGGUCAGCGGAAUAUGUCAUGUAGCGGUGAAAUGCUUAGAUAUGACAUAGAACACCAAUUGCGAAGGCAGCUGGCUAGACAAAUAUUGACACUGAGGCACGAAAGCGUGGGGAUCAAACAGG
rnacentral:rRNA from 1 species